UACGUAGGUGGCAAGCGUUGUCCGGAUUUAUUGGGUUUAAAGGGUGCGUAGGCGGCCCUGUAAGUCAGUGCUGAAAUAUCCCGGCUUAACCGGGAGGGUGGCAUUGAUACUGCGGGGGCUAGAGUACAGAUGAGGUAGGCGGAAUUGACGGUGUAGCGGUGAAAUGCUUAGAUAUCGUCAAGAACACCUAUAGCGAAGGCAGCUUACUAGGCUGUAACUGACGCUGAGGCACGAAAGUGUGGGGAUCAAACAGG
rnacentral:rRNA from 1 species